rnacentral:rRNA from 1 species
GACAGAGGGUGCAAACGUUGUUCGGAAUUACUGGGCGUAAAGCGUACGUAGGCGGCUUUGUAAGUUAGAGGUGAAAGCCCGGGGCUCAACUCCGGAACUGCCUUUAAGACUGCAUCGCUAGAACGUCGGAGAGGUGAGUGGAAUUCCGAGUGUAGAGGUGAAAUUCGUAGAUAUUCGGAAGAACACCAGUGGCGAAGGCGACUCACUGGACGACUGUUGACGCUGAGGUACGAAAGCGUGGGGGAGCAAACAGG